GAUGAAGAACGUAGCGAAAUGCGAUAAUUAAUGUGAAUUGCAGAAUUCCGUGAAUCAUUGAGUCUUUGAACGCACAUUGCGCCUCAUGGCAUUCCGUGAGGCAUGCCCAUCUCAGCGUUAGAAAAUAUUCUCAAAUUUUAGUUUUGUGCUAAAAUUUGGAUCAUGUCAAGGAAGCUAUUACUAUUAUUGUGAUCGCUCUUUGGAAAUUGAUAGGUCUUUGAGUUGCUACUCAUAGAACGUGAUGAAUCUUUCUUCGUUCUAUUGUAAUUCACUCUGGUAGUCCUAAAACUUGUAUGCCUGUGGCAUAUCUUGUAAUUUGACCUGAGAUUGGGUAGGGAUACCCACUGAACUUAAGCAUAUCAAUAACGGAGGA
rnacentral:misc_RNA from 1 species